UUGACCUGUGACCCUAGAGGCCGCAACAUACGCGCGUAGUAGCGAAGAUUUUCAUCAGGAUUUCCAGGAGGAUUUCAGCCUUUAUAUCAUCGCUGUGACAGUGACAAGAUGGCUCCUCCUGUGGACAUUGGAAACACGUGCACACAGGCAAAGAUGUUGGAUGAGACCCAUGCCUCAUCACCUGAUGAAAUGAUAAAAGGUGUCAUGUCAG